UACGAAGGGGGCUAGCGUUGUUCGGAUUUACUGGGCGUAAAGCGCACGUAGGCGGAUAUUUAAGUCAGGGGUGAAAUCCCGGGGCUCAACCCCGGAACUGCCUUUGAUACUGGGUAUCUUUGAGUCCGGAAGAGGUGAGUGGAAUUCCGAGUGUAGAGGUGAAAUUCGUAGAUAUUCGGAGGAACACCAGUGGCGAAGGCGGCUCACUGGUCCGGUACUGACGCUGAGGCGCGACAGCGUGGGGAGCAAACAGG
rnacentral:rRNA from 1 species